AUUGAACGCUGGCGGCAUGCCUUACACAUGCAAGUCGAACGGUAACGGGCCUUCGGGUGCCGACGAGUGGCGAACGGGUGAGUAAUACAUCGGAACGUGCCUGAUCGUGGGGGAUAACGAGGCGAAAGCUUUGCUAAUACCGCAUACGAUCUACGGAUGAAAGCAGGGGACCGCAAGGCCUUGCGCGGACGGAGCGGCCGAUGGCAGAUUAGGUAGUUGGUGGGAUAAAAGCUUACCAAGCCGACGAUCUGUAGCUGGUCUGAGAGGAUGAUCAGCCACACUGGGACUGAGACACGGCCCAGACUCCUACGGGAGGCAGCAGUGGGGAAUUUUGGACAAUGGGCGCAAGCCUGAUCCAGCCAUGCCGCGUGCAGGAUGAAGGCCUUCGGGUUGUAAACUGCUUUUGUACGGAACGAAAAGCCUUCUUUUAAUACAGGAGGGUCAUGACGGUACCGUAAGAAUAAGCACCGGCUAACUACGUG
rnacentral:rRNA from 1 species